GAUGAAGAACGUAGCGAAAUGCGAUACUUGGUGUGAAUUGCAGAAUCCCGUGAACCAUCGAGUCUUUGAACGCAAGUUGCGCCCGAAGCCAUUAGGCCGAGGGCACGCCUGCCUGGGCGUCACACGUCGUUGCCCCCCCAUCUACUCCUUCGGGAUUGCGGGGGGCGGAUGAUGGCCUCCCGUGCGCCUCGUCGCGCGGUUGGCAUAAAUGCCAAGUCCUCGGCGACACACGCCACGACAAUCGGUGGUUGCGAAACCUCGGUUGCCCGUCGUGUGCGGUCGUCGCGCAUCGAGGGCUCGAAAAAAUUGCCGGGCUCCGGCUCGGCUUUCAACGCGACCCCAGGUCAGGCGGGGUUACCCGCUGAAUUUAAGCAUAUCAAUAAGCGAGGA
rnacentral:misc_RNA from 1 species